AACGAACGCUGGCGGCAGGCCUAACACAUGCAAGUCGAGCGGCAGCGGGAAAGUAGCUUGCUACUUUUGCCGGCGAGCGGCGGACGGGUGAGUAAUGCCUGGGGAUCUGCCCAGUCGAGGGGGAUAACUACUGGAAACGGUAGCUAAUACCGCAUACGUCCUACGGGGGAAAGCAGGGGACCUUCGGGCCUUGCGCGAUUGGAUGAACCCAGGUGGGAUUAGCUAGUUGGUGAGGUAAUGGCUCACCAAGGCGACGAUCCCUAGCAGGUCUGAGAGAAUUAUCAGCCACACUGGAACUGCGACACGGUCCAGACUCCUACGGGAGGCAGCAGUGGGGAAUAUUGCACAAUGGGGGAAACCCUGAUGCAGCCAUGCCGCGUGUGUGAAGAAGGCCUUCGGGUUGUAAAGCACUUUCAGCGAGGAGGAAAGGUUGGUAGCUAAUAACUGCCAGCUGUGACGUUACUCGCAGAAGAAGCACCGGCUAACUCCGUGCCAGCAGCCGCCGCGG
rnacentral:rRNA from 1 species